rnacentral:rRNA from 1 species
GGGUUGUGAGGUUAAGCGAACAAGCGUACACGGUGGAUGCCCUGGCAGUCAGAGGCGAUGAAGGACGUGCUAAUCUGCGAAAAGCGCCGGUAAGGUGAUAUGAACCGUUAUAACCGGCGAUGUCCGAAUGGGGAAACCCGGUGCACUUCGGUGCAUCAUCGUUAGCUGAAUACAUAGGCUAACGAGGCGAACCGGGGGAACUGAAACAUCUAAGUACCCCGAGGAAAAGAAAUCAACCGAGAUUCCCCCAGUAGCGGCGAGCGAACGGGGAACAGCCCAGAGCCUGAAUCAGCUUGUGUGUCAGUGGAACGGUCUGGAAAGGCCGGCGAUACAGGGUGACAGCCCCGUACACGAAGGCACACAGGCUGUGAGCUCGAUGAGUAGGGCGGGACACGUGAUAUCCUGUCUGAAGAUGGGGGGACCAUCCUCCAAGGCUAAAUACUCCUGACUGACCGAUAGUGAACCAGUACCGUGAGGGAAAGGCGAAAAGAACCCCGGCGAGGGGAGUGAAACAGAACCUGAAACCGUGUACGUACAAGCAGUGGGAGCCUUCGUAAGAGGGUGACUGCGUACCUUUUGUAUAAUGGGUCAGCGACUUAUAUUCUGUAGCAAGGUUAACCGUAUAGGGGAGCCGAAGGGAAACCGAGUCUUAACCGGGCGUUAAGUUGCAGGGUAUAGACCCGAAACCCGGUGAUCUAGCCAUGGGCAGGUUGAAGGUUGGGUAACACUAACUGGAGGACCGAACCGACUAAUGUUGAAAAAUUAGCGGAUGACCUGUGGCUGGGGGUGAAAGGCCAAUCAAACCGGGAGAUAGCUGGUUCUCCCCGAAAGCUAUUUAGGUAGCGCCUCGUGAACUCAUCUCCGGGGGUAGAGCACUGUUUCGGCUAGGGGGCCAUCCCGGCUUACCAACCCGAUGCAAACUGCGAAUACCGGAGAAUGUUAUCACGGGAGACACACGGCGGGUGCUAACGUCCGUCGUGAAGAGGGAAACAACCCAGACCGCCAGCUAAGGUCCCAAAGUCAUGGUUAAGUGGGAAACGAUGUGGGAAGGCCCAGACAGCCAGGAUGUUGGCUUAGAAGCAGCCAUCAUUUAAAGAAAGCGUAAUAGCUCACUGGUCGAGUCGGCCUGCGCGGAAGAUGUAACGGGGCUAAACCAUGCACCGAAGCUGCGGCAGCGACACUAUGUGUUGUUGGGUAGGGGAGCGUUCUGUAAGCCUGUGAAGGUGUGCUGUGAGGCAUGCUGGAGGUAUCAGAAGUGCGAAUGCUGACAUAAGUAACGAUAAAGCGGGUGAAAAGCCCGCUCGCCGGAAGACCAAGGGUUCCUGUCCAACGUUAAUCGGGGCAGGGUGAGUCGACCCCUAA